GCAUUGGUGAUUCAGUGGUAGAGUUCUUGCCUUCCAUCUGGGACACCCAGGUUCAAUUCCUGGCCAAUGCA
rnacentral:tRNA from 1 species